GGAUGGGAUGGGGCAUUUGUGGAGUGGAGCCUGGGAAGAGGACAACAUUUGAAAUUCCAGCCAUUGGUCCUUCUUCCCAAUGCGUCCAUCCACAGUUGCUCAUCCCAUUCUUCCUCUCACCAAUGUCCAAGAGGAUGUCUCCUGCUCCUCCCUCUGUGCCAGGCUUGCCCACUCCCUGGUGGCUCCAAUCUCUAAAGAGUUAGCUUCAUCGUCUCCCUCUGAGGACAGACCCAGCAGUCCUCUGCUCUCUUCAUGUCCAGGGGCCUUAGACCAACUCAUGCUUGCUACCUGGUUGGUGGCUCAGUGUCUGAGAGAUGUCAGAGGUCCAGUUUGCAGCAUCAAGAACAGCCCCUAGUUUGAAGAACCUGCAUGAGCAACAGUGACCAUGGCAACUACUCACUCAACUUUGAAUCAUCAGAUGUCUAGAAUCUUUGGGAGAUGAUGUUUUGAGGCGAGGGAAGACACUGGAUGCUUGCUUUUGAGAUUAUGACAGACAAAAGCCUAGCAUGGCUGUCCUCAGGGAGGCCCAACAAGCAGCUGACUCAGACAGAACCAGAACCACCCAACCAAUGGACUGAAGUAGGUGACUCUUGUGGUUGAAUUACAGAAAGGCCGGAAGAAGAUGAGGAGGAGGGGAACCCUAUAGGAAGACCAACAGUCUCAAGUAACCCAGAUCUCUGAAAUCUCUCAAACACUAAGCCACCAACAGGGAAACAAACACUAGCUGAUCCAAAGCUCCUGACACAUACACAGCAGAGGACUUCCUGGUCUGUCCUCAGUGAGAGAAGAUGUGCUUAACCCUUUAGAUAAUUGACACCCCGUGGAGU